rnacentral:rRNA from 1 species
UGGGGAAUUUUGGACAAUGGGCGAAAGCCUGAUCCAGCAAUGCCGCGUGUGUGAAGAAGGCCUUCGGGUUGUAAAGCACUUUUGUCCGGAAAGAAAUCCUCUGGGUUAAUACCUCGGGGGGAUGACGGUACCGGAAGAAUAAGCACCGGCUAACUACGUGCCAGCAGCCGCGGUAAUACGUAGGGUGCAAGCGUUAAUCGGAAUUACCGGGCGUAAAGCGUGCGCAGGCGGUUUUGUAAGACGGAUGUGAAAUCCCCGGGCUUAACCUGGGAACUGCAUUCGUGACUGCAAGGCUAGAGUAUGGCAGAGGGGGGUAGAAUUCCACGUGUAGCAGUGAAAUGCGUAGAGAUGUGGAGGAAUACCGAUGGCGAAGGCAGCCCCCUGGGCCAAUACUGACGCUCAUGCACGAAAGCGUGGGGAGCAAACAGGAUUAGAUACCCUGGUAGUCCACGCCCUAAACGAUGUCAACUAGUUGUUGGGGAUUCAUUUCCUUAGUAACGUAGCUAACGCGUGAAGUUGACCGCCUGGGGAGUACGGUCGCAGGAUUAAAACUCAAAUGAAUUGACGGGGUCAUAGCUGUUUCCU